UACGAACUGUGCAAACGUUAUUCGGAUUCACUGGGCUUAAAGGGUGCGUAGGCGGCCAUGUAAGUAGGGUGUGAAAUCCCCCGGCUUAACCGGGGAACUGCGCCCUAAACUGUAUGGCUGGAGUGAGAUAGGGGUGUGUGGAACUUCCGGUGGAGCGGUGAAAUGUGUUGAUAUCGGAAGGAACGCCGGUGGCGAAAGCGGCUUCCUGGUCCAGCACCGACGUUCAGGCACGAAAGCGUGGGGAGCAAACAGG
rnacentral:rRNA from 1 species